rnacentral:rRNA from 1 species
AACGAACGCUGGCGGUAUGCUUAACACAUGCAAGUCAAACGGGUUUUUUUUGAAGCUUGCUUUAAGAAAAAUCAGUGGCAAACGGGUGAGUAACGCGUGGGAAUCUACCCAUUAGUAUGGAAUAACAUCUGGAAACAGAUGCUAAUACCGUAUAUUCUCUAAGGAGGAAAGAUUUAUCGCUAAUGGAUGAGCCCGCGUCAGAUUAGGUAGUUGGUAGGGUAAUGGCCUACCAAGCCGACGAUCUGUAGCUGGUCUUAGAGGAUGAUCAGCCACACUGGGACUGAGACACGGCCCAGACUCCUACGGGAGGCAGCAGUGGGGAAUAUUGGACAAUGGGCGAAAGCCUGAUCCAGCAAUACCGCGUGAAUGAUGAAGGCCUUCGGGUUGUAAAAUUCUUUUAGUAGGGAAGAUAAUGACGGUACCUACAGAAAAAGCCCCGGCUAACUCCG